ensembl:ncRNA lncRNA:CR33218 long non-coding RNA:CR33218
ACGAGCACUAGCACACGAAUAGAUUUUCCACAACGUUAAGCAUAUGCAAACAUCUAAAUUCUACGGUUCUACAUUCGAUUCCAUUCGAUUCGAUUACGAUUGCCCUCGUUUUUCAGUUUUCUUCGAGAUCCGUUUCUAUGGCUAAAAUAAAUCUUUGGUUGGGUAAACUCCGUGACUCUGUUCUGUCCAGGCUGCAGAGCAUCAAGAAACCCCUACCCCUUCCUUCGACCAAGGGCCCCCUCAAUGCCAAUGAAACCUCAAAUUCCGAAGGUAAUAUUAGUGACUUUCAGCAGGGCGAUCCAAUAAUUCCACCCAUCGAAGCUAACAAAAUGAUACCGAGGCCUCAAAAUGGAUUCGUCAGCCGAGCCCUCUACUACCGAGGAUACUACAUUAGGCGUUAAAGGAUUCGUGCCUAACAUGAAAUUCAGUAUAAAUUGAAAAUUUUACACACCGGACUCGUAGUCUCGGAUUAACCAAAUCGAGCCUUGAAACACCGGCUAUGUUACAAAUUAGCUCAGUAAUUUCUUGAACUUUAACAAAUCAUCAGCAGUGAAAUAAGCAUGUGCAACAUUUGGUCUAAAAUCAAUCAAUCAAUAAACAUUUGUACCUUU